UCCGGUUUGGCACCGGCAGUCUCCCUAGAGUUCCCGGCAUCACCCGCUGGCAACUAAGGACAGGGGUUGCGCUCGUUGCGCCACUUAAGGCAACACCUCACGACACGAGCUGACGACAGCCAUGCAGCACCUGUCUCACGGUUCCCGAAGGCACUCCUACAUUUCUGUAAGAUUCCGUGGAUUCAAAGGUAGGUAAGGUUCUUCGCGUUGCGUCGAAUUAAACCACAUGCUCCACCGCUUGUGCGGGCCCCCGUCAAUUCCUUUGAGUUUUAACCUUGCGGCCGUACUCCCCAGGCGGAGAACUUAACGCGUUUGCUGCGAUACUAAAAGGUCUAAGCCCCCUAACAUCUAGUUCUCAUCGUUUACGGCGUGGACUAC
rnacentral:misc_RNA from 1 species